UAUAUACUGUGCCAUUCAUUUCUUUUCAUUCAAAAACAUUUAUCGAGCCCUCACUGUGUGUCAGGCGCAGCCUGAGGUGAAGGGGCUGCAUACUGUGCAAGUGUGAAAGGGCAGAGUCCAGCCCUGCCCUCCUGACGCCCUGCCCUCCUGAUGCGGACAACGUGUGAAAGACAGAAGUUAAGCAGUUAAUUACAUAAUGAACCAUCACAGUUUGUAUGUAAACCCUUGGACACAAGAGGAGAAGGAUCCCAGAGGGGGAACCUCAUCUGACUUCUCAGCUGUUGAAUUAAGGAUGAAAAGCAAAGCAGGCUCACCUAGGUGCUGGGGCCACAGGAGCAAGCAAGAGAGGGGAAGAUGCCCUUGUGUUUACAGACGAGGAAACCAAAGAACAAGCAGAUGACAUGGGUUUCCCGGGGCCACAGAGAUGCCAAGUAGCAGAAGAUAUCCCGAAAGGACCUGUUACCUAAGUCGAGACCCCGAAGAUUUAUGCCUGUGUUCUUAUCCGGGAGUGUUAGAGUUUCAGCUCCUCCACGUAGGCCUGUGAUCCAUUUGGAGUUAAUUUUUACAUAUGGUGUGAGGUAAAGGCCCGACUUCGUUCUGCUGCACGUGGACAUGCAGUUUUCCCAGCACCACUUGUUGAAAGGACUGUUCGGGCCACCCUGACUCCCCAGCCUUGUGGAAAAUCAGCUGAUCGCGGGCGUGAGGCCCGGUCUGGACCGACAUGUUCAUUCUCACGCCAGCACCACGGUGUCCUGCUGGCCACAGCUUUGCAAUAAUGUUGAAACUGGGGAGUGUGAGCCCCUCAACUUCGUUCUUUUUCAAGACUGUUUCAGCAAUUCUGGGUCCCUUGGGUUCCCAUACAAACUUUUCGAUCGGCUUGUCAAUUUCUGCAAAAGAAGCUAAUAGGGAUUUUGACAGGGAUUGAGUUGAAUUUGUAGAUCAGUUUAGGGAUGUUUGCCACCUUAACAAUGUUACAUCUCCUGAUCCAUGAACAUGGGUUG